GACGAACGCUGGCGGCGUGCCUAAUACAUGCAAGUCGAGCGAAUGGAUGGGAGCUUGCUCCCUGAAGUUAGCGGCGGACGGGCGAGUAACACGUGGGCAACCUGCCUGUAAGACUGGGAUAACUUCGGGAAACAGGAGCUAAUACCGGAUACAUUCUUUCUUCGCCUGAAGAAAGAUGGAAAGAUGGUUUCGGCUAUCACUUACAGAUGGGCCCGCGGCGCAUUAGCUAGUUGGUGAGGUAACGGCUCACCAAGGCAACGAUGCGUAGCCGACCUGCGAGGGGGAUCGGCCACACGGGGAAUGAGACACGGCCCAGACAGCUACGGGAGGCAGCAGUAGGGAAUCUUCCGCAAUGGACGAAAGUCUGACGGAGCAACGCCGCGUGAGCGAAGAAGGCCUUCGGGUCGUAAAGCUCUGUUGUUAGGGAAGAACAAGUACCAGAGUAACUGCUGGUACCUUGACGGUACCUAACCAGAAAGCCACGGCUAACUACGUGCCAGCCGCCGCAGUAAAAC
rnacentral:rRNA from 1 species